rnacentral:rRNA from 1 species
GUGGGGAAUAUUGGGCAAUGGGCGAAAGCCUGACCCAGCAACGCCGCGUGAAGGAAGAAGGUUUUCGGAUCGUAAACUUCUAUCCUUGGUGAAGAUAAUGACGGUAGCCAAGAAGGAAGCCCCGGCUAACUACGUGCCAGCAGCCGCGGUAAUACGUAGGGGCAAGCGUUGUCCGGAAUGAUUGGGCGUAAAGGGCGCGUAGGCGGCCCGGUAAGUCUGAAGUGAAAGUCCUGCUUUUAAGGUGGGAAUUGCUUUGGAUACUGUCGGGCUUGAGUGCAGGAGAGGUAAGCGGAAUUCCCGGUGUAGCGGUGAAAUGCGUAGAGAUCGGGAGGAACACCAGUGGCGAAGGCGGCUUACUGGACUGUAACUGACGCUGAGGCGCGAAAGUGUGGGGAGCAAACAGGAUUAGAAACCCCGGUAGUCC